GAUGAAGAACGUAGCGAAAUGCGAUAAAUAAUGUGAAUUGCAGAAUUCAGUGAAUCAUCGAAUCUUUGAACGCACAUUGCGCCCGCCAGUAUUCUGGCGGGCAUGCCUGUUCGAGCGUCAUUACAACCCUCAGGCCCCCGGGCCUGGCGUUGGGGAUCGGCGGAGCCCCCCGUGGGCACACGCCGUCCCCCAAAUGCAGUGGCGGUCCCGCCGCAGCUUCCAUCGCGUAGUAGCUAACACCUCGCGACUGGAGAGCGGCGCGGCCACGCCGUAAAACACCCAACUCUUCUGAAGUUGACCUCGAAUCAGGUAGGAAUACCCGCUGAACUUAAGCAUAUCAAUAAGCGGAGGA
rnacentral:misc_RNA from 1 species